UUUUUGAUGUUUUGCAUCUCAUUGGAGUGCAACAGACAAGAAAAUAACAUCCGACUUAAAAUCUUCCAUUUUGCAGAUCCUUGUCCAUUUUUGGACCAAAUUCUCUUCUCAAAGGAAGAUUAAAUAAAUGCUGGCGGCCACAUGAAGUUGCAAUGUGUGAGGAACAAAGAGAAAGCAGAGAUUUUUAUGGAAUUGUGAUGAGACUCAACAACCUUUGUCCUGAAGUCUUCCUCUCUGCAUAUAACACCUGCCAAAGCAGAACCUGUGUCAUAUGAGACUGCGGUUUGUCAUUAAAGAUGAAUUAUUCGGGAAAUAACAUGACGGCACAACUGAAAAAAACAAUUUUCCAAGGAAAAAUACUGUAAUUGCAGUCCAUAUGUGU